GCCUACAAAGCUAAAACAUAGCGUUGGUCUUGUAAAUCAAAGGUUGAGAAAAUUCUCUGUAGGCU
rnacentral:tRNA from 1 species